GGAAUAUUGGACAAUGGGCGAAAGCCUGAUCCAGCUAUCCCGCGUGCAGGAUGACGGCCCUAUGGGUUGUAAACUGCUUUUGUUUGGGAAGAAACUUUCCGAUUUAUCGGAAAUUGACGGUACCAUUCGAAUAAGCACCGGCUAACUCCGUGCCAGCAGCCGCGGUAAUACGGAGGGUGCAAGCGUUAUCCGGAAUCACUGGGUUUAAAGGGUGCGUAGGCGGACUUGUAAGUCAGGGUUGAAAUCCUACAGCUUAACUGUAGAAUUGCCUUUGAUACUGCAAGACUUGAAUUGGGUUGAGGUCAGCGGAAUGUGGCAUGUAGCGGUGAAAUGCAUAGAUAUGCCAUAGAACACCGAUUGCGAAGGCAGCUGGCUAGGCCUUAAUUGACGCUGAGGCACGAAAGCGUGGGGAGCGAAC
rnacentral:rRNA from 1 species